GACGAACCGAGCGAACGUUGUUCGGAAUCACUGGGCUUAAAGGGCGCGUAGGCGGGUGCUCAAGUCCGUGGUGAAAUCCUCCGGCUCAACCGGAGAACUGCCUCGGAUACUGGGUGCCUCGAGGGUGGUAGGGGUAUGCGGAACUAUCGGUGGAGCGGUGAAAUGCGUUGAUAUCGAUAGGAACUCCGGUGGCGAAGGCGGCAUACUGGGACCACCUCUG
rnacentral:rRNA from 1 species